rnacentral:rRNA from 1 species
AGCGAACGCUGGCGGCAGGCCUAACACAUGCAAGUCGAACGGACCCUUCGGGGUUAGUGGCGCACGGUUGAGUAACACGUGGGAACGUGCCUAUCGGUGCGGAAUAGCUCCUGGAAACGCGUGGGACUGCCGAAUGUGGCCUUCGGGGGAAAGAGUUAUCGCCUUUAGAGCGGCCCGCGUCUGAUUAGCUAGUUGGUGGGGUAAUGGCUCACCAAGGCGACGAUCAGUAGCUGGUCUGAGAGGAUGCCCAGCCACAUUGGGACUGAGACACGGCCCAAACUCCUACGGGAGGCAGCAGUGGGGAAUCUUGCGCAAUGGGCGAAAGCCUGACGCAGCCAUGCCGCGUGGAUGAUGAAGGUCUUAGGAUUGUAAAAUCCUUUCGCCGGUGAAGAUAAUGACUGUAGCCGGAGAAGAAGCCCCGGCUAACUUCGUGCCAGCCGCCGCAGUAAGAC